GUUUAUAUAGUUUAAUAAAAACAUUACAUUUUCAUUGUAAAAUUAAAAUAUUCUUUUUUUAUAAAUU
rnacentral:tRNA from 1 species